CUUAAAUGCAAACAGAUAAUAAAUAAACAAAUUAUAAAAAUACAGAUAAGAUCAGAUAUUUAAAUCGUUAGAUUCGGCCUUGCCUCAUCGCCUAUUAUGAUAAAUGUAUCUAGAGUGAUCUGAGCAGUCAAACUUGAGAUUGAAAAUAACGAAAUAGGCAGGAGAGAAAGAGCUAACCAGAUAAUCUUCUGUUCCACUUAAAACAGUGUUAUAUUUUUUUAUGUCAGGACAGAAUCUAACAAUUUAAAUCACUGGGUAAUAUAAAAGCGCUAUGCGAUGCUAAAAGCUGGAUGAAAAUUAUUUUCUAAAGCAUAUCCAAUAAGAUAAAAUAGACUAUUCCCAAAUAGAUCACUGUGUAUUUCAAUUCAACGUAAAUUACAACGUAAUGAAGAGACAUUUAAAUAUACCACAUUUGACAGUUGUUUAAGCAUAAUAAAUAAAAUUCAUGGUACCUAAGAAAAAGUUUCAGCAGACAUAAACUUGUACGUAUUGCAGUUCAGUUUCGUAAAAAUAUAAGAUGAUAGUGAUAUUAACUUGAAAUAAAACGUUUAAAAAUACAAAUUUUGAUAUAAAAGAAAACUUUCUAAGGUAUUCCUUGUACAAGACGUGUCAAUGUUCAAUGAAUUAUACGAACGGCCGUACAAAGGUCAGUACAUAGCUAUAUGAAAUGUCAAAAGUGGCCUAUUAAAAUGACUUCAUUAUAGUUUUAUAAAAAAGAGAAGAAAGCAUAAAACAAAUUCAUACAAUCAGAACUGAAGAAAACAUAACAAACGCAUAAACGGCCACAUUAUUUUUUAAUGUUGUAAAAAAGAAACAUUGAACAGUGCAUCUGAUUUUGUAGUUAUUGAUAACAAGAUAAUAAUAACUGAAUAACACAUUUUGACACACUUUUACUGAUAAUAAAUUAUUGUACAAUAAUUUAUGUAUGAUCAAGUUAUAUAUAUUUCGCAUGAAGACAAGAGAGCUUUGAGGGAAGUUAAAUAAUAAUUCACUGCAAUUCAUACUAGAUUGCUAACAAUCGGAUCUUGGUACAGAAUCUGGAAUGUCACACAAAUAUUAAAAUACUGAUUUGUUAAACAACAAACUUAAAUAAAUAAACUCGCUCUCGGAGGAUUGUUGUAAUUUGAACCGUUGUCGUUAGUAUAAUCUACCAUAAAACCACCAUGCCACCAAAUAACCUUUUACACCAUAGUUCAAUUUGCAACAUUCCCCUUAUAAAUUAAUUAACCGAGCUACCGAUUUUAAACCAUAUGAUGCCGCUGACAAAAUAUAUUGCACCCAUAGAAUUUUUCCCUUAAACGUUCGGUGCCUCAACUAAUUUACUUGACUAUUACGCGAAAUUAUUUGCAAUAUGUAUCAUAAUUAUAGGACAGCGUUCCUUAAGCUUCCGCCAAUGGAACAUGGAAAUCUCGCCAUAAAAACUUGAACAUGGAUUUAACUAAUUUUAAACAAUUUGAUGGGCUAAAUAGGUUCUAAAUUUGUUUAAACAAGUUUAAGUUCUAUAUUUAUCAAAAUUCAUUUCUAUUGAUAAAUAACAUGAAUUGUAUCUCUUCUGAAUUAAAGAACUUAAAAUCAGGAACAUUUCAGAAAUAACACAAUCCAAAAAUACAGUGUCAAAUAAAAGCCAACUCUUUUGGAUGGGUUUAAAAGUUUGAAAAUGUCACAAAAACGUGUUAGCCAUACAUAAUGUCUUAGGAUAAGCUUCCAGACAUAAUAACUCGAUUACCUGCCUAAAUAAGUUAAAGGAACGCUGUUAAAUUAUAUAUCUAUCGUAAUAUAAUACACAACAGCCAAACAGCGCCUGUCCUAGACAGGCAUUCACUUAAAAAUAGUUAUUUAUAUAUUAAACAGCGAAUUAUUUUAAAAGUCGGACCUAAAAAUGCCAUGAAUAAUGAAUAUAUCCCACAAAUCUCGUUGCUAUAAGUAUUUGUCCAAAAAUUUUAUCUCGAAAUUACUUUUUGUUAGGUAACGACGACACUACCUUUAACCACUGACUACAUCGACUUAUUAUUUUAUUUAAAUACCUAUAUACCACAUUUCAAUGAAAUUAUUUUGCUAAUGGUUGUUUAUGCCCUCGCUCCAACCGAGAUCGCUGUGAAGAUAAUACGAGUAUAAUAGACUUAAUUCAGACUAUGCUGACACGAACCGAUUUGUUAUUAGCGGAGUUUAUAAAGGCACGAUCUCAUAAAUGAACUUUGAAUGGAUGACCUUAUUUGAUUAAACAAAAGUCGAAUAUGGUUUGAAUCAGUUUUGGUUCACAAAUAUUGAAGAAAAUAAUUUGCCUUAGAUUGAAUCCAACUUUCGUUAAUCGAACAAAUCAGUCACUCAAACUUGACUCGUGUGAACGCGCCCUAAAUGUAUAAAAAAUCCGCAACAUAUUUAUUCGUACUUAUUGUAGGUACUUCUGUGCGUAAAAGAAAUCACAGGGAUGUUGAUACUUACCCAUAUUCUAUAAUAGCACUGUUUUUUUUCGUUU